AUGGACUUUCCUCCCUUCAAGUCAGGACCUAACCAAGCUGGCGCCCUGCAGCGCCGCAUCACCGGGGCUGACACCCGCAGGUCCCCUCCCGGCCGCUGGCGCUCGGCCGCACCCGCCUCCACCUGCGUCCACCGGCCUCGCCCGCCGCCACCUGCCGGGGCCACCCGCCCAGGUGAGAAAGCGGAGCCUCGGCCCACGAGUGGCGGGGCGCAGGCCCAGGGGCGGCCGCCGGGAGGCGGGGACCCCCGAAGCCCGGGCCCGGCGCCAGCGCCCCGGGGUCCCGGUCCCGACGCCGAGGGCCCCCAGCGCGCGUCCCUGUACAGACCCAGCCCCCCCCCGCCCCGCCCCGGUGCCGGGAGCACGGGCAGGACACACACCAUUUCCGAGACAUCCCCUAUUUUAUACUGUUUGGAACCCACGUCCACCGGAAACACGGGGCGCGAGUGUCUGGCCAGCCCGGGGGGGCCCCCCGCUUCCAUCCCCGGACCCCAAACCCCGCACAGACCGCCGCCGCGAAGGCCCCGUGCUAACCCGCAAGCCCGGGCUCAGCGGGGGAGGGGGCUCAGCUCCGGGGAGGGGGGGCUCAGCUGGGGAGAGGGCUCAGCUGGGGGAGCUCAGCUCCGGGGGGGCUCAGCUCGGGGGGCGGCUCAGUUCGGGGGGUUCAGCUGGGGGGAGCUCAGGUCGGGGGAGGGCUCAGCCGGGGGGGCUCAGCUGGGGGGGCUCAGUUCGGGGGGUUCAGCUUGGGGGAGCUCAGGUCGGGGAAGGGCUCAGCUGGGGGGGCUCAGCUCCGGGGGAGCUCAGCUCCGGGGGGGGCUUAGCUCCGGUGGGGGGGCUCAGCUGGGGGGGGCUCAGCUCCGGGGGGGCUCAGCUGGGGGCGCUCAGCUCGGGGGUGGCUCAGUUGGGGGAGCUCAGCUGGGGGGCUCAGCUGGGGAGUGCUCAGCUCCGGGGUCGGAGGCUCAGCUGGGGGGCUCAGCUCCGGGGGGUGUCUCAGCUGGGGGGCUCAGCUGGGGAGUGCUCAGCUCGGGGGUCGGAGGCUCAGCUGAGGGAGCUCAGCUCCGGGGGGAGCUCAGCUGGGGGGCUCAGCUGGGGGGUGCUCAGCUCGGGGGUCGGAGGCUCAGCUGGGGGGCUCAGCUCCGGGGGGUGUCUCAGCUGGGGGGCUCAGCUGGGGAGUGCUCAGCUCGGGGGUCGGAGGCUCAGCUGAGGGAGCUCAGCUCCGGGGGGAGCUCAGCUGGGGGGCUCAGCUGGGGGGUGCUCAGCUCGGGGGUCGGAGGCUCAGCUGGGGGGGCUCAGCUCCGGGGGGUGUCUCAGCUCUCCGCCAGCGCCCCCCCCGCCCCGCGAUCCCGUCGGUGCCGGAGAAACGCCAGCGUCCGAAGCCCUGGAAGAGAAAUUCGCCCGCCCUCGCCGACGCGCACGGGGUCCCGCGGGCCAGGGGCGGGCGGCGUGGGGCCGGUGCCGGUGCCCCCCGCCCCGGGCCCGCGCGCAGCGGCGAACCGCCGGCCCCCGCACUCACCCCGCGCGUCGCGGCUCCCGGCUCGCGCUCCGCGUCCCCGGCGCCGGGCGGCCGCCCCGACACCUGCUGCGCGCGGCCCCAGGUGGCCGCCGGGAGGGGGAGCCCCGCGCGCCCGCCGGCUCCGCCCCGAGCGCUCCCCGGAGGAGGAGCGGCAGCGGCGGGCGCGGCCCCGGGGACCCCGCGGCGACCCCGCGGCGGCCGGGCCGGCUCGGACCAGGAAGUGCGGGCGCCCGAGCCCGGCGGCCGUGGACGCGCACGCCCCGUCGCGACCCCGGAGGGAGGCCUGCUGCACGGCGCCGCCUGCCGGGGGGGCGGGAGCGAGCGAGCGAGCGAGCGCGCGGUCCGCGGGGGCCGCCCCCGUCCGGGGAGACCCCCGGAGCUGCCGCGGGGCGGGGGUGCGGGGCGGCAGGGGCCGCUAG
rnacentral:lncRNA from 1 species